UACGUAGGGGGCGAGCGUUGUCCGAAGUUACUGGGCGUAAAGAGCGCGUAGGCGGACCCUUAAGUGAGGGGUGAAAGGUUCGGGCUCAACCCGGAGAGUGCCUUUCAUACUGGGGGUCUUGAGUGCGGGAGAGGCAAGUGGAAUGGUCGGUGUAGCGGUGAAAUGCGUAGAUAUCGAUCGGAACACCCGUGGCGAAGGCGGCUUGCUGGCCCGUUACUGACGCUGGAGGCACGAAAGCGUGGGGAGCAAACAGG
rnacentral:rRNA from 1 species